rnacentral:rRNA from 1 species
UACGUAGGGUGCAAGCGUUUGUCCGGAAUUAUUGGGCGUAAAGAGCUCGUAGGCGGUCUGUCGCGUCGGCUGUGAAAACCCGGGGCUCAACCCCGGGCCUGCAGUCGAUACGGGCAGACUAGAGUGCGGUAGGGGAGACUGGAAUCCUGGUGUAGCGGUGAAAUGCGCAGAUAUCAGGAGGAACACCGAUGGCGAAGGCAGAUCUCUGGGCCGUAACUGACGCUGAGGAGCGAAAGCGUGGGGAGCGAACAGG